UACGGAGGGUGCAAGCGUUGCUCGGAUUUAUUGGGCGUAAAGGGUAGGUAGGUGGUCUUAUUUGUCUAGGGUGAAAUCUCCGAGCUUAACUUGGAAACUGCCAUUGAUACUAUCAGUCUUGAAUACCGUAGAGGUCAGCGGAAUAUGUCAUGUAGCGGUGAAAUGCUUAGAUAUGACAUAGAACACCAAUUGCGAAGGCAGCUGACUACGCGAAUAUUGACACUGAUGCACGAAAGCGUGGGGAUCAAACAGG
rnacentral:rRNA from 1 species